rnacentral:rRNA from 1 species
AGAGUUUGAUCCUGGCUCAGGAUGAACGCUGGCGGCGUGCCUAAUACAUGCAAGUCGAGCGAACUACUUCGGUAGUGAGCGGCGAACGGGUGAGUAACACGUAGGUGAUCUGCCCAUCAGACGGGGACAACGAUUGGAAACGAUCGCUAAUACCGGAUAGGACGAAAGUUUAAAGGUGCUUCUGGCACCGCUGAUGGAUG